GGGAAAACUUUUCUAACGCGAUUUUAUGAGAAGAAAUCUUUUCCUAUGGAUCUUAAUAGUAUUGUUGUCAUCAGCAUGGAUUAUUUUAUAUUUCUUCUUUUACGCUAACAUUGACUCGUACCUGUUGUCAUGGGCAAGUUCGUUCAAGGAUGACGCUCAACCUGCUUUAUCAAAAUUAAUAUUUUUAAGAUCAAUUCCAAAUAACAUCUCCAAUGCUUCCAGUACUGAUGGCAUUAAUAAAAAGAAAAUAAUAAAAAAGAGACAGAAGUGGAGAGGACAAACUAAUACAAAUAAAAGGUAUUCUAAUCACAAAAAGUUUUUCUUGAAACGUUACUCUAAUGACUUUAAAACUAGCUGGUGUCGUAUUCAUCAAGCUAAAUUGGACUGGAAGAAAUAUUUAGCACCUUGUGCUAGACACACAAAAUGGGGGAUCAAAUAUGCUGGAUUAUGGAAGAACAAAAAAUUGAAAACUUGUGCAGCGAAUAGUUUUAUUUCAAAAUGGGAUGUUCGACCUGCUGGAGAAUUCAGUAAGUUUUUUAUUCAAUCUAAAACAUCAAGUAAUCAUACUAAGAAUAUCGGUGGGGAUUCUUGGCGUAUCCAUAUUAAAGGAACAUCUUCAGUUAGUGCGACAGUAUUUGAUCACAAUAACGGUGUUUAUGAAGUGAUUUUUCUCUUGAUGGAAGCAGGACUUUAUCAAAUAGAAAUCAACCUAGAUUAUACUUUAUGUGAUGGCUUCAAGGAUCCACCUGUUGAUUGGUAUAAGAAAGGUAUAUAUUACUUGUGAUCUGGUUUCUGCA